AAACAGCCCCCUAUGUAUUGGAUCUUUGACGGUUUUGGCCUCCACAGCCACUUUUGACUUAGCCUUCGCUGACGUGGCAUCCACAAUGAUCGACACGUGACACCUCAAUUAAGGGAUGUGGGUGCCACGUCAGCAAGACUAAGUCAAAAGUGGUAUUGGGUGCCAAAACGGCCAAAGAUCCAAUACAUAGGGGGCUGUUU
rfam:Medicago truncatula strain A17 chromosome 2, whole genome shotgun sequence.